UUUCCUUCGUUCACCUAGAGAGACAGGGGUAACGAGAAAAGGGGGCCAGGCCGUUCGCCGCCUCCACCCGCCGAUCCCUCGCCGCCCCGCCGUCGUCCGUCGCCGCCAUCCUCCACUGGCCGUCAUCGACGCACCUCCCAUGGCCGCGGUUUGAUUCGGUCGUCAGUGGCUCCAUCCCCACUGCAGCGUCUCCUCUCCUCUCCACCCCCAUCUUGCCCUAUCCCCUGUCAUCCCUUUCAUCCUCCUCUUAGAUGGGGUACAUCGCCUUGAUCUCCUCCACGGUCGCCUGAAGCAACUCCCUCACAAACCCUAGCCACCACUGUCUCCAACGAUGGCGGAUGCCGGCGAGCAGCGUGGAAGCCGCUGGUGCUGUACGGAGACUGACGACGCGUGACACACGACGGCCAUACACUUAAGGGUUGUUGGUGCAGGCAAUGGAUACGAAGUACCAAGCCAGUUGAUAUGAACUUGCGAUUUUCAUGUUAUUAGUCCUCUACUACUAUCUCUCAAGCUGGAGGUGAUUGCAAAUUUCUGCAUGAGCCUCAGAUUCCUUCAUAUUGCACUAAUUAUAUAAUCAGCAAAUGGAUUCAUGAUGAGGUAACCCGCAUGGUCAAUUUGCUUAAGAAAGAGAAAAUCAUUCAAUUAUAUGAAUUCAGCAAAUCUUUUCUAUUAUGAUUAAAUCUGAGUAGUCUAUCAGGUAGCAACAUCCUCUGCUUCAUGUUUUAAUCAUAAAGCUUGAGCUGUCCAAACUCGAAAAGUUCGGUGUGGUGUCAAUAUAAGUGUGUGUGUGUGUGUGUGUAAAUUUGGACAGGAAAUACAAAAAUCUGAUUGCGGAUAGACUGUAUAUGGAAAUGAUGCUGUAAAUCUGCUUAUAAUAAUUUUCUGAUACACAGAUUUGUUCAGACGGGCUCAUUUUUUCAGUCAAAAGUUGCUUCCCCAUUUCGUUGCAGAAAUUUUGGAUUGCAUAAUAAUAACCUUCAGAAUAGUAAUUUCCACUAUAGAGUCUUCUCAUGAUGAUUUCAGGUUAAUUAUUAAUAACUGCUAUUUGGUCAUUUCAUAGAAUGCUUCUGCUAUCAAUCAUAUUGUCAGUCGGAUUGAUUCACUCAUUUUUAGGCAAUA